rnacentral:miRNA from 1 species
UGAGCCAAAGAUGACUUGCCU